AGCGAACGCUGGCGGCAGGCCUAACACAUGCAAGUCGAACGGGCAUCUUCGGAUGUCAGUGGCAGACGGGUGAGUAACACGUGGGAACGUACCCUUCGGUUCGGAAUAACUCAGGGAAACUUGAGCUAAUACCGGAUACGCCCUUUUGGGGAAAGGUUUACUGCCGAAGGAUCGGCCCGCGUCUGAUUAGCUUGUUGGUGGGGUAACGGCCUACCAAGGCGACGAUCAGUAGCUGGUCUGAGAGGAUGAUCAGCCACACUGGGACUGAGACACGGCCCAGACUCCUACGGGAGGCAGCAGUGUGGAAUAGUGGACAAUGGGCGCAAGCCUGAUCCAGCCAUGCCGCGUGAGUGAUGAAGGCCUUAGGGUUGUAAAGCUCUUUUGUCCGGGACGAUAAUGACGGUACCGGAAGAAUAAGCCCCGGCUAACUUCGUG
rnacentral:rRNA from 1 species